ensembl:lncRNA
CACACAACGUUUGGUGGCCACAACUUUUUGCAGGAAGUGAAGCGGCUCGGGGACUUUCCUCACUGCAGAAACAGCAGAUUAAAUCCAUAAUUCCCGUGAGAAGCGGCAGAGGUAAGACGUGUGUGUGUGUGUGUGUGUGUGUGUGUGUGUGUGUGUGUGUGUGUGUGUGUGUGUGUCUUUGCUGGCUCGCUGUGUGUUUCACAGUAACUCUGCAGGCUUUGUCUCACUCAAUGAUUCAUAAUCCACCGAUUCGCUGCUGUUCUUUGGCUCCAACGUCCGCGAGCUUCAAGCACCGACAAAAUGUCCCACUCGGUCCAAAGGUUGUGGACAAACCUGCACGUCAUAUGUGACUCUUCCCCACCAGCUAAAGCAGGUUGGUGUGAAGGUGUGAAGGUGUGGACUCUGCUAUGAAUCAGGCUGAGGACCCAGAGGACGGAGUCCCUCCCUCUGAAGCCCCUCUGUGUGGGGAACAUGACAGCCAGACCAAAGCUCAGAGGAUCCAUCAGAGACCAGGACCUGGAGCUGGACCUGAUCCUGAACCUGGA